UCUGCCUUUAGAGCGGCCCGCGNCUGAUUAGCUAGUCUGGUGAGGUAAAGGCNCACCAAGGCUGACGAUCAGUAGCNUGGUCUGAGAGGAUGAUCAGCCACAUUGGGACUGAGACACGGCCCAAACUCCUACGGGAGGCAGCAGUGGGGAAUCUUGCGCAAUGGGCGAAAGCCUGACGCAGCCAUGCCGCGUGAAUGAUGAAGGUCUUAGGAUUGUAAAAUUCUUUCACCGGGGACGAUAAUGACGGUACCCGGAGAAGAAGCCCCGGCUAACUUCGUGCCAGCAGCCGCGGUAAUACGAAGGGGGCUAGCGUUGCUCGGAAUUCUUGGGCGUAAAGGGAGCGUANGCGGACAUUUAAGUCAGGGGUGAAAUCCCGGGGCUCAACCUCGGAAUUGCCUUUGAUACUGGGUGUCUUGAG
rnacentral:rRNA from 1 species